rnacentral:rRNA from 1 species
GUGGGGAAUAUUGGACAAUGGGCGCAAGCCUGAUCCAGCAAUGCCGCGUGAGUGAUGAAGGCCUUAGGGUUGUAAAGCUCUUUCACCGGGGAAGAUAAUGACGGUACCCGGAGAAGAAGCCCCGGCUAACUCCGUGCCAGCAGCCGCGGUAAUACGGAGGGGGCUAGCGUUGUUCGGAAUUACUGGGCGUAAAGCGCGCGUAGGCGGCUUGACAAGUUGGAGGUGAAAGCCCGGAGCUCAACUUCGGAAUUGCCUUCAAGACUGUCUCGCUCGAGGCAGGGAGAGGAGAGCGGAAUACCCAGUGUAGAGGUGAAAUUCGUAGAUAUUGGGUGGAACACCGGUGACGAAGGCGGCUCUCUGGCCCUGAUCUGACGCUAAGGCGCGAAAGCGUGGGGAGCAAACAGGAUUAGAAACCCGGGUAGUCC